rnacentral:rRNA from 1 species
CAACUUUCAHYHMCGGAUCUCUUGGUUCUGGCAUCGAUGAAGAACGCAGCGAAAUGCGAUAAGUAGUGUGAAUUGCAGAAUUCAGUGAAUCAUCGAAUCUUUGAACGCACAUUGCGCCCCUUGGUAUUCCAUGGGGCAUGCCUGUUCGAGCGUCAU